UACGAAGGGGGCUAGCGUUGCUCGGAAUUACUGGGCGUAAAGCGCACGUAGGCGGCUUUCUAAGUCGGGGGUGAAAUCCUGGAGCUCAACUCCAGAACUGCCUUCGAUACUGGAAAGCUCGAGUCCGGGAGAGGUGAGUGGAACUGCGAGUGUAGAGGUGAAAUUCGUAGAUAUUCGCAAGAACACCAGUGGCGAAGGCGGCUCACUGGCCCGAUACUGACGCUGAAGCGCGAAAGCUAGGGGAGCAAACGGG
rnacentral:rRNA from 1 species